UGGCUCUCGCAUCGAUGAAGAACGCAGCGAAAUGCGAUAAGUAAUGUGAAUUGCAGAAUUCAGUGAAUCAUCGAAUCUUUGAACGCACCUUGCGCUCCUUGGUAUUCCGAGGAGCAUGCCUGUUUGAGUGUCUUGAAAUCAUCAAACCCCUCCGGUUUCUUGCUGGAGCGGGUUUGGACUUGGGGGUUUUUGCUGCCUUUACCGGUGGCUCCCCUUAAAUGAAUCGGUCGGGCUUUUCGUGUGGCUUGUCCCUUGGCGUUGUAUCAACCUCGUCGCCGGAUGGCUCGCGAGCUUUAGCGGCCCCUCCAAGACCAGCCUCUGGAGCGGUGGUCAACUUCAAUUUGUGAUCUGACCUCAAAUCAGGUAGGACUACCCGCUGA
rnacentral:misc_RNA from 1 species